UAAUUCCAGCUCCAAUAGCGUAUAUUAAAGUUGAUUGACAGAUUAAAAUGCUCGUACUUGAACCUGUGGGCCUGGUUGGCCGGUCCGCCUCACCGUUCGUAGUACUGGUCCGGCCGGGCCUUUCCUUCUGGGGAACCUCAUGCCCUUCACUGGGCGUGUUGGGGAACCAAGACUUUUACUUUGCUAAAAUUAGAGUGUUCAAAGCAGGCCCGCUUUGGCGGGUCGCCGAAUACAUUAGCAUGGACUAAUAGGAUCAGGCCGAGUGGAUCUAUUUUGUUGGUUUCAAUGACCGGUCUGUGAUGACCUUAAUAGGGAUAGUCUGGGCCGCACGCGCGCUAUUCACUCGACAGAGGCAACGAGUUCAUGGAUUCCUUGAAGACUAACUACUGCGAAAGGUUUGGGUAAGGAUCUUGUCAUUAAACUCUGUGAACGUAAGCUAGGGGAUCGAAGAGCAUUGCAAUUACCGUCGUUGCUCUUCAACGAGGAACUAUGCCGAGUAAGCGCAUGUCAUCAGCAUGCGGUGAUUACGUCCCUUGACCCUUUGCACAGCACCGCCCGUCAAUCACUAGUUUUUGCGUCCGCGGGGAGUAUGUC
rnacentral:rRNA from 1 species